GACAGAGGCCCCAAGCGUUAGGCGGAAUCACUGGGCUUAAAGCGUGUGUAGGCGGACGCCUAAGUGUCUUGUGAAAUCCCACGGCUCACCCGUGGAACUGCUGGGCAUACUGGGCGUCUUGGGCCAACUAGGGGCAGCCGGAACAAGCGGUGGAGCGGUGAAAUGCGUAGAUAUCGAGAGGAACACCUGCGGCGAAGGCGGGUUGCUGGGCUGACACUGACGCUGAUGCGCGAAAGCCAGGGAGCGAAGCGGG
rnacentral:rRNA from 1 species